rnacentral:rRNA from 1 species
AGAACGAACGCUGGCGGCGUGCUUAACACAUGCAAGUCGAGUGCGCGCCUGUAGCAAUACAGGUGGCGCACGGCGCACGGGUGCGUAACACGUGGGUAAUCUGCCAUCUGAUGGGGAAUAACUCGCCGAAAGGCGAGCUAAUUCCGCAUAAUAUUCCGGGAACUUAUGUUUCUGGACUGAAAGGCGCAAGUCGCCAGAAGAGGGAUCCGCGGCCGAUUAGCUAGUUGGCGAGGUAAUGGCUCACCAAGGCUUUGAUCGGUAUCCGGACUGAGAGGUUGGCCGGACACACUGGAACUGAGACACGGUCCAGACUCCUACGGGAGGCAGCAGUGGGGAAUCUUGCACAAUGGGCGAAAGCCUGAUGCAGCAACGCCGCGUGGGGGAUGGAAGCUUCUCGGAGUGUAACCCCUUUCGACCUGGACGAAUGCCCGCAAGGGUUUGACGGUACAGGUAUAAGAGCCCGGCUACUACGUGCCAGCAGCCG